CAUAUUUACAGGUAAACUCUGAUUGAGUCAGAGAUUCCGAAUAGCAGAAAAUGCAAUGCCUUAUAUACUAUUGGUUUGAACUGAAAAUUGAGAUUUAUAUAAUGAAGAUGCUCAUUCAUAUCAGAAUUGUGCUUCAGGAUGAUCAGAUGAAACAGAAACUUUCAGUUGUGCCUCAUUAUUUAGAAGACACUGAUAGAAAAAUGAAGAGAAGUAAAUGAUGGGCCUAAAAGAGCAUUAUAGAACAGACUUGGAAACUGACUUUAAAGUAUGUUGGCAAAUGUGGAUGAACAUCUGGGAUGAAUUUAACAUGCAUUUUAUGGAGAAAGGAAACCAAGCCUUUUCAUCAUGUGAAAGAGAAUUGCAUCAUAAACCUGCUGUGUGCAAUUAAUAUGUGAUACUGUACUUGCCUUUUUCUGGAUACCUUUUUAUGUUUCAUGAUUAACUUUGGCUAACAGCAGAAAUGGGAGAGAAGUGUCCAGAGAGGGAUGCUACUAAAAAGGCUUUAUGUGACAAACCAUACUGUCAGACAUUAACAGAAAAUACACCACUGCAGAAUGAUGGCAACACGCAGAGACAAAGCACCAAUGACCGUAACAGGUAACAUUAUACAUGUAAUCUCCUUUAAGUUCUUUUUUUACAGGUUAUUGUUCUGCAAAGUACAUUCUGUAUUGUUAUUUGGGUAAAUUAAUGGUUUUUAGAGUUAGAAAAUUUUCCUCAGUAAACUCAGUGCCCCCUUUCUACAUUUCAUGAAAUUACUUUUAUUUUAGCUUUAGCUUUCAUUCUAUGUCCUUUUCAUUUGAACUAUUAGUAAACCGAAAUCUUGCUUCAUUCUCAUCACUGGUUGUCACUAACGAUGUUUCCAGACCUGUCAAAGAUUGUCUGUACUUUUAAAUUACACCACCGCAUCUAAAAUAACCACCAAGUAGCCAACCGCCUGAAACACACAUCCCAUUUUAUUCAAAAAACAUUUCCUCCAAGUUGGGAAUUGUGAUACAGUCUUUACUUGCUCACUUAAAACAUGAAGAUAUUACCAUGUUUCCAGUCAUUCUCAAAUUAUACUCUGAAAGAAAAUGCCCCUGUGCAGUGUUUCAAAGGUUGUAUAACCAUAAAAUUCACCUUUUUGAAAACACCAAUUCUAGCCUUGAACUAGACUAGUUGGGAUCAGAAUCUCCAAGGGGAGUGGCCUGG
rnacentral:lncRNA from 1 species